AGCGUACACGGUGGAUGCCCUGGCAGUCAGAGGCGAUGAAGGACGUGCUAAUCUGCGAUAAGCGUCGGUAAGGUGAUAUGAACCGUUAUAACCGGCGAUUUCCGAAUGGGGAAACCCAGUGUGUUUCGACACACUAUCAUUAACUGAAUCCAUAGGUUAAUGAGGCGAACCGGGGGAACUGAAACAUCUAAGUACCCCGAGGAAAAGAAAUCAACCGAGAUUCCCCCAGUAGCGGCGAGCGAACGGGGAGCAGCCCAGAGCCUGAAUCAGUGUGUGUGUUAGUGGAAGCGUCUGGAAAGGCGCGCGAUACAGGGUGACAGCCCCGUACACAAAAAUGCACAUGCUGUGAGCUCGAUGAGUAGGGCGGGACACGUGGUAUCCUGUCUGAAUAUGGGGGGACCAUCCUCCAAGGCUAAAUACUCCUGACUGACCGAUAGUGAACCAGUACCGUGAGGGAAAGGCGAAAAGAACCCCGGCGAGGGGAGUGAAAAAGAACCUGAAACCGUGUACGUACAAGCAGUGGGAGCACGCUUCGGCGUGUGACUGCGUACCUUUUGUAUAAUGGGUCAGCGACUUAUAUUCUGUAGCAAGGUUAACCGAAUAGGGGAGCCGAAGGGAAACCGAGUCUUAACUGGGCGUUAAGUUGCAGGGUAUAGACCCGAAACCCGGUGAUCUAGCCAUGGGCAGGUUGAAGGUUGGGUAACACUAACUGGAGGACCGAACCGACUAAUGUUGAAAAAUUAGCGGAUGACUUGUGGCUGGGGGUGAAAGGCCAAUCAAACCGGGAGAUAGCUGGUUCUCCCCGAAAGCUAUUUAGGUAGCGCCUCGUGAAUUCAUCUCCGGGGGUAGAGCACUGUUUCGGCAAGGGGGUCAUCCCGACUUACCAACCCGAUGCAAACUGCGAAUACCGGAGAAUGUUAUCACGGGAGACACACGGCGGGUGCUAACGUCCGUCGUGAAGAGGGAAACAACCCAGACCGCCAGCUAAGGUCCCAAAGUCAUGGUUAAGUGGGAAACGAUGUGGGAAGGCCCAGACAGCCAGGAUGUUGGCUUAGAAGCAGCCAUCAUUUAAAGAAAGCGUAAUAGCUCACUGGUCGAGUCGGCCUGCGCGGAAGAUGUAACGGGGCUAAACCAUGCACCGAAGCUGCGGCAGCGACGCUGAUGCGUUGUUGGGUAGGGGAGCGUUCUGUAAGCCUGCGAAGGUGUGCUGUGAGGCAUGCUGGAGGUAUCAGAAGUGCGAAUGCUGACAUAAGUAACGAUAAAGCGGGUGAAAAGCCCGCUCGCCGGAAGACCAAGGGUUCCUGUCCAACGUUAAUCGGGGCAGGGUGAGUCGACCCCUAAGGCGAGGCCGAAAGGCGUAGUCGAUGGGAAACAGGUUAAUAUUCCUGUACUUGGUGUUACUGCGAAGGGGGGACGGAGAAGGCUAUGUUGGCCGGGCGACGGUUGUCCCGGUUUAAGCGUGUAGGCUGGUUUUCCAGGCAAAUCCGGAAAAUCAAGGCUGAGGCGUGAUGACGAGGCACUACGGUGCUGAAGCAACAAAUGCCCUGCUUCCAGGAAAAGCCUCUAAGCAUCAGGUAACAUCAAAUCGUACCCCAAACCGACACAGGUGGUCAGGUAGAGAAUACCAAGGCGCUUGAGAGAACUCGGGUGAAGGAACUAGGCAAAAUGGUGCCGUAACUUCGGGAGAAGGCACGCUGAUAUGUAGGUGAAGUCCCUCGCGGAUGGAGCUGAAAUCAGUCGAAGAUACCAGCUGGCUGCAACUGUUUAUUAAAAACACAGCACUGUGCAAACACGAAAGUGGACGUAUACGGUGUGACGCCUGCCCGGUGCCGGAAGGUUAAUUGAUGGGGUCAGCGCAAGCGAAGCUCUUGAUCGAAGCCCCGGUAAACGGCGGCCGUAACUAUAACGGUCCUAAGGUAGCGAAAUUCCUUGUCGGGUAAGUUCCGACCUGCACGAAUGGCGUAAUGAUGGCCAGGCUGUCUCCACCCGAGACUCAGUGAAAUUGAACUCGCUGUGAAGAUGCAGUGUACCCGCGGCAAGACGGAAAGACCCCGUGAACCUUUACUAUAGCUUGACACUGAACAUUGAGCCUUGAUGUGUAGGAUAGGUGGGAGGCUUUGAAGUGUGGACGCCAGUCUGCAUGGAGCCGACCUUGAAAUACCACCCUUUAAUGUUUGAUGUUCUAACGUUGACCCGUAAUCCGGGUUGCGGACAGUGUCUGGUGGGUAGUUUGACUGGGGCGGUCUCCUCCUAAAGAGUAACGGAGGAGCACGAAGGUUGGCUAAUCCUGGUCGGACAUCAGGAGGUUAGUGCAAUGGCAUAAGCCAGCUUGACUGCGAGCGUGACGGCGCGAGCAGGUGCGAAAGCAGGUCAUAGUGAUCCGGUGGUUCUGAAUGGAAGGGCCAUCGCUCAACGGAUAAAAGGUACUCCGGGGAUAACAGGCUGAUACCGCCCAAGAGUUCAUAUCGACGGCGGUGUUUGGCACCUCGAUGUCGGCUCAUCACAUCCUGGGGCUGAAGUAGGUCCCAAGGGUAUGGCUGUUCGCCAUUUAAAGUGGUACGCGAGCUGGGUUUAGAACGUCGUGAGACAGUUCGGUCCCUAUCUGCCGUGGGCGCUGGAGAACUGAGGGGGGCUGCUCCUAGUACGAGAGGACCGGAGUGGACGCAUCACUGGUGUUCGGGUUGUCAUGCCAAUGGCACUGCCCGGUAGCUAAAUGCGGAAGAGAUAAGUGCUGAAAGCAUCUAAGCACGAAACUUGCCCCGAGAUGAGUUCU
rnacentral:rRNA from 1 species